CGGCAAAAGCUCAAAUUUGAAAUCUAGCACCUUCGGUGUUCGAGUUGUAAUUUGAAGAUGGUAACCUUGGGUUUGGCUCUUGUCUAUGUUCCUUGGAACAGGACGUCAUAGAGGGUGAGAAUCCCGUCUGAUGAGAUGCCCAUUCCUAUGUAAGGUGCUAUCGAAGAGUCGAGUUGUUUGGGAAUGCAGCUCUAAGUGGGUGGUAAAUUCCAUCUAAAGCUAAAUAUUGGCGAGAGACCGAUAGCGAACAAGUACAGUGAUGGAAAGAUGAAAAGAACUUUGAAAAGAGAGUGAAAAAGUACGUGAAAUUGUUGAAAGGGAAGGGCAUUAGAUCAGACUUGGUGUUUUACGAUUAUCUUCUCUUCUUGAGUUGUGCACUCGUAUUUCACUGGGCCAGCAUCGAUUCGGAUGGCAAGAUAAUGGCAGUUGAAUGUGGCUUCACUUCGGUGGAGUGUUAUAGCUUCUGCUGAUAUUGCCUGUCUGGAUCGAGGGCUGCGUCUUUUGACUAGGAUGCUGGCGUAAUGAUCUAAUGCCGCCCGU
rnacentral:rRNA from 1 species